AGUGAAAAAGAAAUCAAUGAACACAUAACCCAAGCCCCAAAAAUAAACAAGAACCGAUUCAUCAUCUAUGGUUAUCUUCACAUCUAAAUCAUGCUCGAUUUCAACAUCUUCAUCAGCACAAUGAUUUCUCCUCUCAGGUGUGUUGCCGUCCUUGUUUCCAGAGAUCAUCAAACAUUCCGAUUGUUGUUCGGGGGAUCUCGAUGGUAAUGUUUUGAGUUUAGAAGUUAAAGUUCCAGAGACAGAAGUAUGGUUUUCUGUUGACGUAUUUGUUGCAAUUGAAGUGAAAAUAGAUGAAGCAACAUGAGGCCAUGGAGACCAGGGACCUCGCUAUUCAUGUUGGGGAAGUGUGUUUGUAUUUCUAAUAGUUCCUUAGCACUGCAAUGGUCAAUGAUUUUCAUGUUUAACACAAA